rnacentral:tRNA from 1 species
UAGGUAGAAGCCAGUGGGUUUAGGCAUUUAGCUGUUAACUAUAGUCUUGUGGGAUCGAAGCCCAUCUACCUAG